GACGAACGCUGGCGGCGUGCUUAACACAUGCAAGUCGAACGGAAAGGCCCUGCUUUUGUGGGGUGCUCGUGUGCCGAACGCGUGAGUAACACGUGUGUAUACUGCCCUUGAAUUUGGGAUAACUUCAGGGAACUGGGGCUCAUAUCGGAUAGGAGCUCCUGCUGCAUGUUGGUGGUUGGAAAGUUUCGGCGGUUGGGGAUGGACUCGCGGCUUCUCAGCUUGUUGGUGGGGUUGUGGCUUACCAAGGCUUUGAAGGGUAGCCGGCCUGAGAGGGUGACCGGCGUCAAUGGGACUGAGAGACGGCGCAGAAUGCUACGGGAGGCAGCAGUGGGGAGUAUUGCACAAUGGGGGGACGCGUGAGGCAGCAACGCCGCGUGCGUGAUGAUGGGCUUCGGGGUGUAAACCGCUUUCGCCUGUGACGAAGCGGGAGUGACGGUAAUGAGUAAAGAAGCACCGGCUAACUACGUG
rnacentral:rRNA from 1 species